CCUACGGGAGGCAGCAGUGGGGGAUAUUGCACAAUGGGGGGAACCCUGAUGCAGCGACGCCGCGUGGGUGAAGGAGCGUUUCGGCGCGUAAAGCCCUAUCGGCAGGGAAGAAGAUGACGGUACCUGACCAAGAAGCCCCGUCUAACUACGUGCCAGCAGCCGCGGUAAUACGUAGGGGGCAAGCGUUAUCCGGAUUUACUGGGUGUAAAGGGAGCGUAGACGGAAGUGCAAGUCUGGAGUGAAAGGCGGGGGCUCAACCCCCGGACUGCUCUGGAAACUGUACGGCUGGAGGGCAGGAGAGGGAAGUGGAAUUACUAGGGUAGCGGUGAAAUGCGUAGAUAUUAGGAGGAACACCAGUGGCGAAGGCGGCUUACGGGACUGUAACUGACGUUGAGGCUCGAAAGCGUGGGGAGCAAACAGGAUUAGAUACCCGAGUAGUC
rnacentral:rRNA from 1 species